GGAAGGAUCAUUAGUGAAUUAAACAUGCUCGGUGUCUUCGCUUCGGCAAGGCCCUUGCUUUACUCACAUCCCAACACCUGUGAACUGUAAGGCGUAUGAUGAGGCUUCGGCUCAAUCGUCGUCUGCCCUUUUUAACAAACGAUUAAUGUAACAAACGUAGUCUUAUUAUAACCUAAUAAAACUUUCAACAACGGAUCUCUUGGCUCUCGCAUCGAUGAAGAACGCAGCGAAAUGCGAUAAGUAAUGUGAAUUGCAGAUUUCAGUGAAUCAUCGAAUCUUUGAACGCACCUUGCGCUCUUUGGUAUUCCGAAGAGCAUGCCUGUUUGAGUGUCAUGAAAAUAUCAACCUUGACUUGGGCUUUGUGCACGAGUCUAGGCUUGGAAGUGGGUGCUUGCCGCUUAAACACGCGGCUCACCUUAAAUGUAUUAGCUGGAUCAGUCUUUGAGACUUGGUUUGACUUGGCGUAAUAAGUAUUUCGCUAAGGACAUUCUUCGGAAUGGCCUCGUUUCUGGGACACCUGUCCGCUUUCCAAUUCGAGUUCCAGAAAUGGACAUGACCUUUUAUCAUCUGGCCUCAAAUCAGGUAGGACUACCCGCUGAACUUAAGCAUAUCAAUAAGCGGAGGAAAAGAAACUAACAAGGAUUCCCCUAGUAACGGCGAGUGAAGCGGGAAGAGCUCAAAUUUGAAAUCUGGUAGCCUCAGGCUGCCCGAGUUGUAAUCUAUAGAUGCGUUUUCCGCGCUGGCCCAUGUACAAGUGCCUUGGAAUAGGCUGUCAUAGAGGGUGAGAAUCCCGUCCCUGACAUGGACUACCAGUGCUUUGUGAUACGUAUUCAACGAGUCGAGUUGUUUGGGAAUGCAGCUCAAAAUGGGUGGUAAAUUCCAUCUAAAGCUAAAUAUUGGCGAGAGACCGAUAGCGAACAAGUACCGUGAGGGAAAGAUGAAAAGCACUUUGGAAAGAGAGUUAAACAGUAUGUGAAAUUGUUGAAAGGGAAACGAUUGAAGUCAGUCAUGUCUAUUGGACUCAGCUGGUUCUGCCAGUGUACUUCCUUUAGAUGGGGUCAACAUCAGUUUUGACCGCUGGAGAAGGGCAGGAGGAAUGUAGCACUCUCGAGUGAACUUAUAGCCUCCUGUUAUAUACAGUGGUUGGGACUGAGGAACGCAGCAUGCCAUUAUGGCCGGGGUUCGCCCACGUACAUGCUUAGGAUGUUGACAUAAUGGCUUUAAACGACCCGUCUUGAAACACGGACCAAGGAGUCUAACAUAUCUGCGAGUAUUUGGGUGUCAAACCCAAGUGCGCAAUGAAAGUGAAUGUAGGAGGGACCCGCAAGGUGCACCUUCGACCGAUCUGGAUCUUUUGUGAUGGAUUUGAGUAAGAGCAUAUAUGUUGGGACCCGAAAGAUAGUGAACUAUGCCUGAAUAGGGCGAAGCCAGAGGAAACUCUGGUGGAGGCUCGUAGCGAUUCUGACGUGCAAAUCGAUCGUCAAAUUUGGGUAUAGGGGCGAAAGACUAAUCGAACUAUCUAGUAGCUGGUUCCUGC
rnacentral:misc_RNA from 1 species